rnacentral:rRNA from 1 species
AACGAACGCUGGCGGCAUGCCUAACACAUGCAAGUCGAACGAACCCUUCGGGGUUAGUGGCGCACGGGUGCGUAACGCGUGGGGAUCUGCCCUUGGCUUCGGAAUAACAGUUAGAAAUGACUGCUAAUACCGGAUGAUGUCUUCGGACCAAAGAUUUAUCGGCCAGGGAUGAGCCCGCGUAGGAUUAGGUAGUUGGUGGGGUAAAGGCCUACCAAGCCGACGAUCCUUAGCUGGUCUGAGAGGAUGAUCAGCCACACUGGGACUGAGACACGGCCCAGACUCCUACGGGAGGCAGCAGUGGGGAAUAUUGGACAAUGGGCGCAAGCCUGAUCCAGCAAUGCCGCGUGAGUGAUGAAGGCCUUAGGGUCGUAAAGCUCUUUUACCCGGGAUGAUAAUGACAGUACCGGGAGAAUAAGCCCCGGCUAACUCCGUGCCAGCCGCCGCGGUAAAAC